GUGGGACUUCUGUAUAGUAUAUAUUCUGUGGCCGACAAGUUAGUCGACCAUUAUAUGAAAUAAGAAUUGGAGGAAGAACGCGGUGCAGUUCUCAAUAUGUUUAACAAAGGUUAAAGUUUUAUUAAAUGUAAUUUUCCUUCUGAGUUCAAUAUGCAUUGAAGCGUCCUAUUUUAAAGUUCUACCUGCUCUCUCAAAAGAAGUUAAGUUAUUGCAGAUCGUGGAAAAGUUAGGACUCUCUAACCAAUCAAGAAACAGAUAAAAGAUGCAAGGGAACACAACUGCUGUCCUUGUUGCUUUGUCAGCUUGUAACCAACGAACUCCUCGACUAAGAAGUUACUGUUUUGGUGGAAUUUUUUUGUGAUUGUCUGAAGGAUCAUUUCUCUCUGGCUCCUCAUGCCUUCUCUGGUUUAUUGGCUUUGGUAUGUUGUAUUGUAUCUGUGUGAAACUGACUGUUAAAGCCAAAGAAUGCAUUUUUAUUAUCUUUUUGCCGUGCAUAUUUUUUUGCCUUUGCAUUUCAUCUGGUACAUUUAAUUCUUACUGCGGGCUACGGGUUGACACAUCUAAAAGCAAAC